rnacentral:rRNA from 1 species
UACGGGGGGGGCAAGCGUUGUUCGGAAUUACUGGGCGUAAAGGGCUCGUAGGUGGCCAACUAAGUCAGACGUGAAAUCCCUCAGCUUAACUGGGGAACUGCGUCUGAUACUGGAUGGCUUGAGUUUGGGAGAGGGAUGCGGAAUUCCAGGUGUAGCGGUGAAAUGCGUAGAUAUCAGGAGGAACACCGGUGGCGAAGGCGGCG